rnacentral:rRNA from 12 species
AUGAUGACGUAAAGCAAACUAAGUCAAAUGGGAAAUCGAAGAAGAAGAAGGAAAAGAAAUCAACUUCCAGUAAAGACAGCUUUGCGGGAGUCACGGCGAUCUGCGGCGGAUUCGCCGAAGCAUCCAAGUCUACCGAAGGGAAGGUU